CGCAAUCCGCAGUACGAAGCCCAGGUGGGAGCCCUCCCCCCUGCUGCGCCGGUCCCGGCAAAGGCCUAGUGACCAGGUAAAUGGUAGGUGACUGGGCUUCCUGGACUUGGGGGGACCAGGUUGCAGUUUCCAAGGUCCGCACAUUCACAGUACUGCUGGUUGGGCAGGAAAGGCCCAGGAAAGGCCCUGGCUGGACCACCCAUCUCUCCUGGCCUCUAAACUUCCAGCCACUUCUCUCCCAGAUUGGCAAAUUGGAGAAGGGAUGCAACUAUAGAAAUUGGACUACCAGGAAUACCAGCCAAUAUCAAUGUAUUUUGACAUAGAAGGUGUCAUCCUGAGUAGAUGUUUCUGGAAGAGUACCAGCCAAUUCUAUCCUUAGCCUUGUCUUACUCUUUCUCAGUUUGAUUGAAAAAUCCUGAGUCAGAAUAUAACAUAUUACCAUUCCCAUGGGGGUUAAAACAUAAGUAAGAAAACCAUUUGACAGGAAAAAUAAAGGGUUUGAAAGUCUGGCAGGGGAGGGUAGGGUAGACUAUGAGUCCCCCCACCCCCCCAAUCCAGAAGUCUGUGGUUCUCUGAUAGUUGGGAUCACUUCUUAUGGUAACUGUGGCCUAAUAUCCAACAUAGGUAGGUGACUGCCUUAGAGUUUUUGGUCUUUGUUGACAGGAUGACAGCAAAUGAACUCUAAUUCCCAGUAACACACUCCUUGCUGCCCACCCAGAUUUUACCCUUUCACGUAUGUUUUCUCUCUUCAACCUGUUCUUAGAUUGUUCCUUCCACUCUACAGAGGUGCUGAAACAUGCCAGUAAGCAGUUUCUUAAUCUAGAAAACGAUUUCGGCAGCAAAGUUCAAAUUUUCUGACAAUACGGUAGAAGAAUGGUUCUCAACUGGGGAUGAGUUUGCUCCCUAGGGGACAUUUGGCAAAGUCUGGAGACAGUUUUGAUUGUCACAUCCUGGGGAGGGGGCAGGGGAGGGAAGCAUGAGGUGGAUGGAUGCGCUGCUGGCAUCUCGUGGGUAGAGGCCAAGGAUGCUACCCAGCUCCCUGCAGUGAGUGCAAACCACAACGAAGGCUUACCCAGCCCAGAACAUCGAGAGUGCUGAGACUGAAGAAACCUGGCCUGGAAUCUUUUUUAAAUAUAAAGGCAAAGGAAAACUAUUGAGAGAGUCUGAACUUUACAUACUGGAUCACGAUCCUUUUCAAAGGACACAUUCUGGUGGAUUCUCUUGCCAUUUCCUUCUGCCUUACCUGUUGCUUUACCCUGAUUCACUCUUGGUUUCUCAUAGCAUAUGUUAUAUAUAUAUUCUACUAUGCCUGUGAUAGUCUUUCCUUAACAUUUCUUCCCACUGGCCACUGCCAUAUAUUAUAAAACCCUUUCUUAUAGCUUAGAGGUUAAGCAAAUUAUCUUAGGUAAUUUGCUUAAUUUCUUACAAGUCUCAGUUUCCUCAUCUGUAAAAUGGGAAUAAUACUACUAUCUAAGAGGGUUGUUGUGUAUAAUAAGGGGAGCUUAGAAGGUGUCAGGCACAUAAUAGAUGCUCAUUAAAUAAUAGCCAUUAUUCCUUUUUGAAAAAAAAAUUGGAGCAGGAUUUGAAACUGUAUAUUCAUUAAAUAUUUACUAAGCAUUUUCUAUGGUUUGGUCCUAUGUUAGGUGCUUGGGAUACUUCAGAAAACAAAACACAAAACUUGAAAACCCUGCUGUCAUGGAACUUACACACAUAUACACACAAAAGCAAACAUGUAUGUACAUGUAAAAAAACAUGCGCACGCUACGAUGACAUAAACAUUCUGUGACUCUUCCCUUACUUAUUUCAGAACCUAAUUGAGAGUAAACAUUCUUCCUCCAAUUGGCCAAAAUCGCAUGGCGAAGAGCAAUUACAGAAUUCGAAAGAAACGCUUUUCUUUUGAAUACCGUUUCUUUCAGGUUUUAACCAAAAUAAACGUGUAUUUAAAAAAUAUAUGAAGUUGGCCUGUCUUGAGAAGAAAAUCACACAAAAUGGAAAUCAGUACAAAACCAAUGGGGAAGGAGGGAAUUGACUAUUUAGAUACUGUUUCAAUUGCUCCAAGAAUGAUUGAAGAAGAAAUGUAUCCACAGAAGAUUUACUUAUUGCUUUUGAAGGUGAAAAUAAACAAUUCAUAGACUGCAGACAGACCAAGUGAAUGACAGUGCAACACAGUUUCUAAAACACACAAAAAAGGGUAUAAAAUCUCAUCC